GCGGGACUGCACGGCACGAACUGAUGAGAACAUCCCUGAGGCGAUUAUUUAUCUAAGGGAGCUGUCCCUGUUUGGACCGUGGUCCAGACUAAACGGCGCCCACCUGACGUUUUGGCGUCAGAGGAUAUUCCGGGAAACGACCCAUUGUGGUUCCGCU
rnacentral:other from 2 species